GUCUGUAAAGUUGAUUGAUCCUAGCUCGUCCGCUCAGGGCAGGGUCAGGCUGGGCCAGCACACUUCUCCUCUGCACUGCCUACGCUGGGCUCUGCAUUCCUCUCACUCUGUCCAAUGUCUCGCACCCCCUAGGAAGAAGUGCAGCCAAAGGUCAAAGGCUCAACAGCAAGCGUGUAGCUGAGCAGCCUUGGCCCAGGGGGAAGAUGCCCCAGCUGUCCAGAAACCCAUGACCAGCUUAGGGCAUUUUGCCUAACCCUGAGUCAGAUUAGACCCCCUUGCUUCAGAACCUUCCGGAAGCUCACUCACAGAGAUCACACAGAACGGUUAAUGAACUCAUCAUAAGCCACACAGAUAGAAGACCAUGGAGUCAAGAUUUGGACCCACGUUGUUGGAAACCAGAACCCAGGCUCUUAAAAGGAAGAUCAUAAUGCCUCCCCUAUAAGAAACUAUUUAUAAAGGCAACAAAACCCUGGGCCUCUAUCAGGAAGGGAAAGUCAGCAGGCCCAAUACUGAGGGCCUCUUGCCAGCAGCCACAGCUGCUCCGAAGAUGGUAACUACUAUCGUGCUUGGAGGACUGUGUUCCAGAGCAGCAAGGAAAGGAAGGAACCUUAAUUCACCCGCUCGGGAGUGGAGUCAGCACAAUGGCUUGGGAAAGCAGCGUGACAUGAUCUAGUGACAUAAACUCA